CAGGUGGAAGUCUAUUAGGUAAGAUUCUCACUUUGGGAGUGAGAGAUUGCAAGUUCGAAUCUUGUUCACCUGA
rnacentral:tRNA from 1 species